GACGAACGCUGGCGGCGUGCCUAAUACAUGCAAGUUGAGCGAUGAAGAUUGGUGCUUGCCCCAAUUUGAAGAGCAGCGAACGGGUGAGUAACGCGUGGGGAAUCUGCCUUUGAGCGGGGGACAACAUUUGGAAACGAAUGCUAAUACCGCAUAACAACUUUAAACAUAAGUUUUAAGUUUGAAAGAUGCAAUUGCAUCACUCAAAGAUGAUCCCGCGUUGUAUUAGCUAGUUGGUGAGGUAAAGGCUCACCAAGGCGAUGAUACAUAGCCGACCUGAGAGGGUGAUCGGCCACAUUGGGACUGAGACACGGCCCAAACUCCUACGGGAGGCAGCAGUAGGGAAUCUUCGGCAAUGGACGAAAGUCUGACCGAGCAACGCCGCGUGAGUGAAGAAGGUUUUCGGAUCGUAAAACUCUGUUGGUAGAGAAGAACGUUGGUGAGAGUGGAAAGCUCAUCAAGUGACGGUAACUACCCAGAAAGGGACGGCUAACUAC
rnacentral:rRNA from 1 species